GUGAGGAAUAUUGGUCAAUGGGCGACAGCCUGAACCAGCCAUCCCGCGUGAAGGAAGAAUGCGCUAUGCGUUGUAAACUUCUUUUCCAGGGGAAUAAAAUGCCGUACGUGUAUGGUACUGAAGGUACCCUGGGAAUAAGCAUCGGCUAACUCCGUGCCAGCAGCCGCGGUAAUACGGAGGAUGCGAGCGUUAUCCGGAUUUAUUGGGUUUAAAGGGUGCGUAGGCGGGAUGAUAAGUCAGUGGUGAAAACCUGCAGCUUAACUGUAGACUUGCCGUUGAUACUGUUGUUCUUGAGUAUGGUCAAGGCAGGCGGAAUGUGUAAUGUAGCGGUGAAAUGCUUAGAUAUUACACAGAACACCGAUAGCGAAGGCAGCUUGCUGGGCCUGUACUGACGCUGAUGCACGAAAGCGUGGGGAUCGAACAGGAUUAGAAACCCCUGUAGUCC
rnacentral:rRNA from 1 species